UACGUAGGGGGCAAGCGUUGUCCGGAUUUAUUGGGCGUAAAGAGCGUGUAGGCGGCCAUACAGGUCCGUUGUGAAAACUGGAGGCUUAACCUCCAGACGUCGAUGGAAACCGUAUGGCUAGAGUCCGGAAGAGGAGAGUGGAAUUCCUGGUGUAGCAGUGAAAUGCGUAGAUAUCAGGAGGAAUACCGAUGGCGAAGGCAGGUCUCUGGGCUGACACUGACGCUCAUGCACGAAAGCGUGGGGAGCAAACAGG
rnacentral:rRNA from 1 species